UUCGGCAGUGUGUUAUAGUCUUUGUCGAUACUGCCAGCUUAACUGAGGACUGCGGCUUCGGCCUAGGAUGUUGGCAUAAUGAUCUUAAGUCGCCCGUCUUGAAACACGGACCCAAACGUCACAGAGGGUGACAAUCCCGUGCGAAGAGAUGUCCCAGACCUCUGUAAAGUUCCUUCCAAUAGUCGAGUUGUUUGGGAAUGCAGCUCUAAGUGGGUGGUAAAUUCCAUCUAAAGCUAAAUAUUGGCGAGAGAUCGAUAGCGAACAAGUACCGUGAUGGAAAGAUGAAAAUAACUUUGAAAAGAGAGUGAAAAAGUACGUGAAAUUGUUUAAAGGGAAGGGCUUGACAUCCAACUUGGUAUUUUGUAUGUUACUCUCUCCGGGGUGGCCUCUACAGUUUACCGGGCCACAUCAGUUUGAGCGGUAGGAUAACUGCAAAGAAAUGUGGCCCUGCUUCGAUAGUGUGUUAUAGCCUUUGUCGAUACUGCCAGCUUAUACUGACGACUGCUGUUUCUCCUAGGAUGCUGGCUAAUGAU
rnacentral:rRNA from 1 species